rnacentral:rRNA from 1 species
AGUCGACCCCUAAGGCGAGGCCGAAAGGCGUAGUCGAUGGGAAACGGGUUAAUAUUCCCGUACUUCUUACAAUUGCGAUGGGGGGACGGAGAAGGCUAGGUGGGCCUGGCGACGGUUGUCCAGGUUCAAGUGCGUAGGCUUGAGAGUUAGGUAAAUCCGGCUCUUUUUAAGGCUGAGACACGACGUCGAGCCACUACGGUGGUGAAGUCAUUGAUGCCAUGCUUCCAGGAAAAGCCUCUAAGCUUCAGAUUGUA